AUUGAACGCUGGCGGCAUGCCUUACACAUGCAAGUCGAACGGCAGCACGGGUGCUUGCACCUGGUGGCGAGUGGCGAACGGGUGAGUAAUACAUCGGAACAUGUCCUGUAGUGGGGGGUAGCCCGGCGAAAGCCGGAUUAAUACCGCAUACGAUCUACGGGUGAAAGCGGGGGACCUGCGGGCCUCGCGCUAUAGGGUUGGCCGAUGGCUGAUUAGCUAGUUGGUGGGGUAAAGGCCUACCAAGGGGACGAGCAGUAGCUGGUCUGAGAGGACGACCGGCCACACUGGGACUUGGACACGGCCCAGACUCCUACGGGAGGCCGCAGUGGGGAAUUUUGGACAAUGGGCGAAAGCCUGAUCCAGCAAUGCCGCGUGUGUGAAGAAGGCCUUCGGGUUGUAAAGCACUUUUGUCCGGAAAGAAAUCCUUGGCCCUAAUACGGUCGGGGGAUGACGGUACCGGAAGAAUAAGCACCGGCUAACUACGUG
rnacentral:rRNA from 1 species